rnacentral:tRNA from 1 species
UCUCUCGUGGCUCAGUUGGUAAAGAAUCUGCCUGCAAUGCAGGAGACCCAGAUUCAAUCCCUGGCGGAGUA